UACGGGGGGGGGCAAGCGUUGUUCGGAAUUACUGGGCGUAAAGGGCUCGUAGGUGGCCAACUAAGUCAGACGUGAAAUCCCUCGGCUUAACCGGGGAACUGCGUCUGAUACUGGAUGGCUUGAGAUUGGGAGAGGGAUGCGGAAUUCCAGGUGUAGCGGUGAAAUGCGUAGAUAUCGGGAGGAACACCAGUGGCGAAGGCGGCUUCCUGGCCUGUUCUUGACGCUGAGGCGCGAAAGCUAGGGGAGCAAACGGGG
rnacentral:rRNA from 1 species